rnacentral:rRNA from 1 species
UACAGAGGGGGCAAGCGUUGUUCGGAAUUACUGGGCGUAAAGGGCGCGUAGGCGGCCUGCUAAGUCGAACGUGAAAUCCCCGGGCUCAACCCGGGAACUGCGUCCGAUACUGGCAGGCUUGAAUCCGGGAGAGGGAUGUGGAAUUCCAGGUGUAGCGGUGAAAUGCGUAGAUAUCUGGAGGAACACCGGUGGCGAAGGCGGCCUGCUGGGCAGUAGCUGACGCUGAGGCGCGACAGCGUGGGGAGCAAACAGG